rnacentral:rRNA from 1 species
GAUGAACGCUAGCGGCAGGCUUAACACAUGCAAGUCGAGGGGUAUUGGUUUUCGGACCAAGAGACCGGCGCACGGGUGCGUAACGCGUAUGCAAUCUACCUUUUGCAGAGGGAUAGCCCAGAGAAAUUUGGAUUAAUACCUCAUAGUAUAGUACUUUGGCAUCAAGGAACUAUUAAAGUCACAACGGCAAAAGAUGAGCAUGCGUCCCAUUAGCUAGUUGGUAAGGUAACGGCUUACCAAGGCUACGAUGGGUAGGGGUUCUGAGAGGGAGAUCCCCACACUGGUACUGAGACACGGACCAGACUCCUACGGGAGGCAGCAGUGAGGAAUAUUGGACAAUGGGCGCAAGCCUGAUCCAGCCAUGCCGCGUGCAGGAUGACGGUCCUAUGGAUUGUAAACUGCUUUUAUACAGGAAGAAACACUCCGACGUGUCGGAGCUUGACGGUACUGUAAGAAUAAGGAUCGGCUAACUCCGUGCCAGCAGCCG